rnacentral:misc_RNA from 1 species
GAUGAAGAACGUAGCGAAAUGCGAUAAGUAAUGCGAAUUGCAGAAUUUCCGUGAGUCAUCGAAUCUUUGAACGCACAUUGCGCCCCCUGGUAUUCCGGGGGGCAUGCCUGUCCGAGCGUCAUUACAACCCUCAGCUCAGCUUGGUGUUGGGCCCCGCCGCCCCGGCGGGCCCUAAAGUCAGUGGCGGUGCCGUCCGGCUCCGAGCGUAGUAAUUCUUCUCGCUCUGGAGGUCCGGUCGUGUGCUCGCCAGCAACCCCCAAUUUUUUUCAGGUUGACCUCGGAUCAGGUAGGGAUACCCGCUGAACUUAAGCAUAUCAAUAAGCGGAGGA